CCUACGGGAGGCAGCAGUGGGGGAUAUUGCACAAUGGGGGGAACCCUGAUGCAGCGACGCCGCGUGGGUGAAGGAGUAUUUCGGUAUGUAAAGCCCUAUCGGCAGGGAAGAAUUUAGACGGUACCUGACUAAGAAGCCCCGGCUAACUACGUGCCAGCAGCCGCGGUAAUACGUAGGGGGCAAGCGUUAUCCGGAUUCACUGGGUGUAAAGGGAGCGUAGACGGCCAGGCAAGCCUGGAGUGAAAGCCCGGGGCCCAACCCCGGGACUGCUCUGGGAACUGUCCGGCUGGAGUGCGGGAGGGGCAGGCGGAAUUCCUGGUGUAGCGGUGAAAUGCGUAGAUAUAUGGAAGAACACCAGUGGCGAAAGCGGCUCUCUGGUCUGUAACUGACGCUGAGGUUCGAAAGCGUGGGUAGCAAACAGGAUUAGAUACCCGAGUAGUC
rnacentral:rRNA from 1 species